GAGCAGAAGAAUCCUCUCCAGUUGCGGUACAGCCUCCCAGUGUAAAAGCAGAGGGCAUUAUUAGUUGUCCAGUGCCAAAGAAGUCUUUCAACACUUCCACAUAUAUUGAAUUCUCCCUGCAUUGAGCCGCUACACUGUUGGCAGGGACAGGAUAGCACAACUCAACAGGAACAUCUGGCUGCUGUGGUUCUUCUGGUAGGCUUGGAAAACUCCAUGUCAGUUUUGCCACUGGACCCAGCAACAGCUCUUUUGACUGAACACC